rnacentral:rRNA from 1 species
GUGCCAGCGCGGUAAUACGAAGGGGGCUAGCGUUGCUCGGAAUCACUGGGCGUAAAGCGCACGUAGGCGGAUUGUUAAGUCAGGGGUGAAAUCCUGGAGCUCAACUCCAGAACUGCCUUUGAUACUGGCGAUCUUGAGUCCGGGAGAGGUGAGUGGAACUGCGAGUGUAGAGGUGAAAUUCGUAGAUAUUCGCAAGAACACCAGUGGCGAAGGCGGCUCACUGGCCCGGUACUGACGCUGAGGUGCGAAAGCGUGGGGAGCAAACAGG